AUUAGGACACAGACACACACAGAGGGAGGACCAAGUGAGGACACAGGGAGAAGAUGGCCGUCUACCAGCCGAGGAGAGAGACUUCAGAGGAAGCUGGCCCUGACAACACCUUGCUCUUGGCCUUCCAGCCUCCAGAACUGUAAGAAAAUCCAUUUCUGUUGUUUGCGCAGUCUGCGGUACUUCAUGAUGGCAGCCCCAGCAGACUCCCACACCCGCUCUCCCAGGCCUAGUGUAUAUUAGGCCCCCACAGCCCCAGUGCCUUGGCCGGAUUCCAGUUCAGGAAAAACAGCAGAUUGGCAAACAUCAGGAAGCGGGUACAUCCCCUCUGAUUUACAAGGAAGAGUGCAGGGUGACUCUACAGCUCAGGAAUUCAGUGAAAUAAAUUUAUGGUUAGAAAAAUUCAUGUUCUUAAUGUGAUGAAGGUCCUUUAACUUUUAACACGUUUCUCUAGUUAAGCUGCACAGG